GAUGAACGCUGGCGGCGUGCCUAAUACAUGCAAGUCGAGCGAACAGACGAGGAGCUUGCUCCUCUGACGUUAGCGGCGGACGGGUGAGUAACACGUGGAUAACCUACCUAUAAGACUGGGAUAACUUCGGGAAACCGGAGCUAAUACCGGAUAAUAUAUUGAACCGCAUGGUUCAAUAGUGAAAGACGGUUUUGCUGUCACUUAUAGAUGGAUCCGCGCCGCAUUAGCUAGUUGGUAAGGUAACGGCUUACCAAGGCAACGCUGCGUAGCCGACCUGAGAGGGUGAUCGGCCACACUGGAACUGAGACACGGUCCAGACUCCUACGGGAGGCAGCAGUAGGGAAUCGUCCGCAAUGGGCGAAAGCCUGACGGAGCAACGCCGCGUGAGUGAUGAAGGUCUUCGGAUCGUAAAACUCUGUUAUUAGGGAAGAACAAAUGUGUAAGUAACUAUGCACGUCUUGACGGUACCUAAUCAGAAAGCCACGGCUAACUACGUG
rnacentral:rRNA from 1 species